GGUCUCGCCGCUCAGUGUCGUCUUGUUGGCUGUCGCGUUCGUGUGCGCGCACUGAGAAAAACGGAACGCCACAGUUGCACUUUGCGGUGCAAUUUCUAUAUUCCUCGAGUCCCCCGAUUUCUGAGUUGCCGUUGCCCCCAUGCGAAGUGCGUGCGCUUUGGCCAAAACAACUACCAAAACGCGUACCGCAGCUUACAAGAUACAACCAAUAAAAUAAGAGGCACAGAGAAUAAUAAUAGAGGAGAGAAACCCCUGCUGUGGAGGGCAUUUGCAUUUUGUUUACCUCGAUGGCUGUGUGGAGUGCAUAAUAUAACGAUUAUAUAAUAUAAAACAAAAGAAAUAGGGAAAACAAAUAAAAGUGCGCGGCAUUCGAUUUUAAUUGCAAGCAACUACAAUAACCACUGAAGAAGAAGAUAAUAUGUUGCCUUUAAAUCAAUUGGGAAACCAACAACCAAAGUUAACGCAACGUUUCUAAAACUUAAAGUCUAAAUACCAAAUAAUAAGUACACAAUAAAAUAAAAUUAAAACCAAACCAAAAGUGGCCUGCAAAACGAAGCAACUAAAAUAACCAAGAAAUGUGAUUCACAGUGUGCAAUGCAACCAAGUUAUUAGUAAAAAGCAAACCAAAAACCAAAGCAAAAAUCGUGGAAAAACAGCGGAACACCCGAAGCCAGGCCAAAUGGAAAUCAAGGAAUCCGGUAGCCAAUCGAAUAGCCAACUAGCAGCCAUCGUGGCCAAUGAUUAAGGGAGCACUCUGUUAGCCAACUCGUAGUAGCAGCAUUCCCCGUCCACACAUUACACCCAAAACACAGCCACUCAGCCACACAGAUCCACCCGACCUCCCCUCACAGCCCUCGAUGCCCGGAAAGAAGGCGUUGGAGCAACAAUUUUAGAAUAUACAGACAGUCAGACAACCACAUCAGCUCCGAACUCCAAGCUCCAGCUCCAGCUCCAGUUCCAAUUCAACCUCAAUCCCGACAUAAAUCGCCCAACAUGGACAUCAAGAUUGAGCAGCAGCAGCAACAACAGCAAGUGGAGCUGGGACCCUGUUCCCCGUCGGAGGUGCCCAAUGAUCCCGGAAAAAUGUUCAUUGGCGGCCUCAGUUGGCAGACAAGUCCAGAGAGCUUACGCGAUUACUUUGGACGUUAUGGUGAUAUCUCAGAGGCUAUGGUCAUGAAGGAUCCCACGACGCGCAGAUCCAGAGGCUUCGGCUUUGUCACAUUCAGCGAUCCAAAUAGCGUAGAUAAGGUACUCACCCAAGGCACACACGAGCUGGAUGGCAAAAAGGUCGAUCCAAAAGUAGCUUUUCCGCGUCGUGCACAUCCCAAGAUGGUGACGAGAACGAAGAAAAUCUUUGUGGGCGGCCUCUCGGCGCCCACCACACUGGAGGAUGUCAAAAGUUACUUCGAACAGUUUGGCCCGAUCGAGGAUGCCAUGUUGAUGUUUGAUAAGCAGACCAAUCGGCACAGAGGUUUUGGCUUCGUUACAUUUCAAAGCGAAGAUGUGGUAGACAAAGUUUGCGAAAUUCAUUUCCACGAGAUAAACAACAAAAUGGUCGAGUGCAAGAAGGCGCAGCCGAAGGAGGUGAUGCUGCCGGCCAAUCUGGCCAAGACGCGGGCUGCCGGGCGCUCCGCAUACGAUAACAUCAUGUGGGGACUGGGGACAUUGCCCGAAGGUUUUCCGGCAGCUGCCUAUGCUGCCUAUGCCGCUGGUCGUGGAUAUUCGGGCUAUCCCAGUUUCGGACUGCCCUAUCCAACUGUUGAUCUAACCAAUGGGCAGCUGACCCCCAACAACAAUACACCGCUGCUGACCCAGGCGCUGUCAGUGAUGAACAACUAUCAGGCGGCUGCUGCGGCCGCCCACAGCUAUGGUCCGUCGGCAUCGCCGCACGCCGCCGCCGCCAACACGGCCACCCGGCAGGGAUUCCCCUCGACCAACUCGCCCGGCCCUACCAUCGACAUGUACAGCUCGGCAGCCGCCGACAAUGUGGGCUACGUGCAGGCCACCAGUCCGCAGCCGUCCGGCUUCCCCAUCGCCGUCAGCCGCGCCCCGUUGAACUACAGCCCGAUUUAUUCGUUGAACUUUGCGAUGGCUAAUAUAUAAAAGACUGAUAACCCAAAAAUAUAAAUGCAAGAGAACAAAAAACAAAACAAAAGAUAAGCAAAAAGUAAAAGAAACCCAUUAUAUAUAUUUAAAUCGAAAAAAUAUAUGAAAAAAAUACAAAUAAAAUAAUGCUAAACGAAAGCAAACAAAAGAAAUAAGAGUAUAAAACAAACGCAGUUGCACAAGGGACCACUAAUUCCUGCGGCAUUUACAAAUGGAUACCAUUAAAAGGUGGCGCCGACAACCGCAAUGACAACAACAACAGCAACAACGGCAGAAGCAGCAACUACAGCAGCAAUAUAACACAACAGCAACAGGAGCAACAAAUGCAACAGCAACUUUAGCAACAAAUGACAGACACACUUUCACACACACUCACAUACACACACACGAUCUGCAGUGCUGCAACCACAGAGCGCAAAAGAAAAUAAUUUAAAAUUAUAUAUACCUGCAUAUAUAUAAAUAUAAAUCAAAUAAAGUACAUAUUACAUAUUUGUGUAAUUCCACAUGGCAAAAUGAAAUCCGUUAAGCAAGAAAAAUCGAGACAACUGCAAGAGCAACAAACAAUAAACCAAACACACAUAUUAUAAUUAAUUAAUUAACGUAUAUUACAAAUACGUACAUAUAAACGCAUGGCAAAAAAAAAAACAACAUGAAAAAAUGUAAAAAAAAACGUUGAGGACGAACUACGAGCGAACACAAACAAAAAAAAAUAAUUUUAAUUUAACAACCACUACAACAACAUCGGCAAGAACAACGCUCGGACCGAAAGAUGCAACGUGUGCAGCAAAAAUCGUUUAAAAUGCAAAUUAAACGGAAACUGUGCGUCCAACUGGAGUGGAGUGCCAUCGCGGUGGGCGGCGCCGGCGGAGGAUGGGCGUGGCAGUGCUCACACAGCAAAAAAUCGGAGGCCUCCACCCAAAACGCCCACCGCCCACGGAUGACAACCAGGCCAAAAAGGGCGUAACCACUUUUAAGUAAUGAGAAACCAACAAAUAAAAGCAAAAAAAAACGAGGGGUUACUAAUAAAACGAUAGAGUUGAAAAAAGAUAAAGCAAAAAUGUUGCAAUAAUAGCGAAAAUGUUAUUAUUUAAUUGCGUAUUAUUAAAGGCAAAUUAUUAUUACCAUUAUUAUUGCUAUUCUUAACGUAUCUAAGUUGUAACUUUUAAAGUUAAAGUCGAUCUAUAUAUAUAUAUAUAUAUAUAUAUAUAUAUAUAUUUCUAAAUAUAUAUAUAUAUAUACAAGAAUAUACUCUCUUAUACACAUAAAGUAAACUGCAAUAUAUACAAAGGGAAUUACUUGAAUCAAAAAGCGAAAUCCAACAACAAGUUAUUGUACUCUCAAUGAUAAUCGAUUUAAGAGUUUGAAAAUGUUAAGAAUCGGUUGGGCUAAGUGUUCAUUUCUCGACUGGGUUGGGGGUGAAUCAAAUCAAAAUUGUGCUUACAAUUAUAAUUAUGAAUUUAUUUUAAAGUACAACAAAUCCUUUAUUGGCCAAAAUAAACAGCAAUGAAACAAAAUCGAAUGUGAGAAAAAGUCGAAGGCAAUUUGUUAUUAACUAUGUUGAAGUUCUCUUUCUCAUUAUUUCAAUCGAAUCAGGGGAAAGAAGAGGAAAAACCUAUAACUUUUGUGUUCACAUUGAAAGCAAAAUGGUAAAUAAUGCUAAUUAAAAAGUGGAUAGUUAGACAAAUAUGUUAAAGCAUUAAAAAUGACAAUGAAAGCGAAGUGAGAGAGUGAAUUUUCGUAGCUCGAGGCAUAAAUAAAUUUAUUUGCUAAAAACAAUGGAGAAUCCAAAACAAUGAAAACUGCAAAAAGCAACUCCUUAAAUAUGUAAGAAACACACAAUUUUUGAGAUACAUUCAUCCACACACACACACACAGACAGAAUACAGAUCUAACGGAUAAAUCAUAAUGAAACACUUAAACAAAUUACUUGAUAAGAGCAUAUGCAAAUAUAACAAUGAACUAUUAUACAUACAACAUAUAGUAAGAUUAAGUAAAUAAAAUAUUUAUAAAACAAACGCGCAAAAUCGCAAAUGUUUGAACACUUAACUAAAUAUAUCUGUAAACAAGCGUGUAAAAAGGAUCACAGAUGAGCCAUAAAAAUGGAUGUGGAAAAUUUGAAAUGAAAUGAAAAUGAAAAUCAUGAUGACGAUGACGAUGACGAUGAAAUGCAGGCCACGCAAUGUGCAAUUAAUUUUUUUCUAGUCGCUCCGUCCGGCAAAUCGACCGGACGAUGGAUGUACUAGACGUAUUUGAGGAUUAUGACGAUAACGACGACGAUGCAAUCGGGGGCGUAAUAGAAAAAUAUAUUUAUAUACAACUAUAUGGAGUAUUAAAUUAUUGGAAAAGCAAACCAAACAAAACCUAUCAGCUAGAUAAGUAAAGAACAUUUGUUACACACAGCAAGUGGGGGAAAAUUGCAAACAACAAAAAAACCAA